rnacentral:tRNA from 1 species
GCCCGGGUGGCGGAACUGGUAUACGCGCCGGACUUAAAAUCCGUUGCUCGAAAGAGCUUGAGGGUUCGAGUCCCUCCCCGGGCACCA